UUGUUUUUAGAUGAGAUGAACACUUUGAUCGGAAAGUGAAUUGCCCUCCAUAAUGUAGGUGGGUUUCAUCUAGUGAGUUGAAGGCCUGAAGAGGAGAGAAGACUGACCUCCCCUGAGCCAGAGGGAAUUCAGCCUGCAGAAGUCUUCGGACUUGACCUGCAACACGGGCUCCUUCCUGGGUCUCCAGCCUGCCAGCCUACCUUGGAGGUGAGGACUCAGGAAGAAGGCACCACCUGUGAACCAGGAAACAGUCUUCACCAGACACCGAACCUGCCGGCACCUUGAUCUUAGACUUCCCAGACUGGAACGGUGAGGAAAAUUUCUGUGCAGUCCAUGGUAUCGCGCUACAGCAGCCCAAACGGACUACAACUCUGGAAUCACGGAGGUGCACACUAGGAUUAUCACUGUCGGAGUGGCAGAGAACCGAAGGCACAGAAAAGGUUCUUGUCGAUGAGGUCGGCCAGCAGCUGCUUCAGCACGUCGGUGGCGUACUCCAGCUUGCUCUGCAGCACGGUCAUGAUGA